ACAACUUCUUGAAUUCUCCAAGAUUUUCUAUCAAAGAUUUGUUGCCAUCCAUCUUGAAGGUAAAGAACAUCUCCCUUACGUAUACAUGGUUAGGUAGAUCUUUGGACUUAUAAAUUUUAUCCAAUUUUGUCUACAUUUCAUAAGUUGUUUCUUCAUCAAUGACUUCCCUAAAAACAUUUGUCACUUAUGUUUAAAACUAUGGCACCAUAGGCUACAUUCUCCAUAGUUUCUUUGUCUUCUUGAGUCAUUGUUUUAGGUAGCUUUUUUGGAUCCUUGAGGGCUUUCAAUGUCUUUUGUUGGUCAACUAUGGCUUUGAUCUUGGCUUUCCAUAAGGCUCUGAUACCAAUUUGUAAGGGAAGCUACGUGUAUGGACACAAAGAAACCACCUAUUUGCAUGCAAUGAAGAUGGUGAGAUGAAGAGAAGAUGAAGAGAGGAAGAAGGAGAAGAUGAACACACAGGAUUUUAGAGUGGUUCAGCAAGUGCCUAUGUCUACUGUGCUUGAGAGUAAGAUAUUAUUUCAGUUUUUUUUUUUUUGUUAUCAUCAAAUAUCAUAGUGAUAUAUGGUAUUUGUAAACUUUUCUAUGACUCUUAGUUAAAACUCUAGUUAAAUUAAAAGUUAAAACUAACAAAGGAUAAACUGUUUUAGUAAAGGGUCUCCCACAAAUGGUUUGGUUCCAAAUUUGAAACCAAAACAUUUUCGGUUUCUGUGGUUCAACCCUAUUAAGAACUGUCUUUUCAGUUUGUUCCAUGGUUUGGCCCAAAAUUAGAUUGAACCGAACCAUGUAGACCUGUACCUCCUAAAAGACUCACUUGAUAUACAUGGUAUACUACUAAUAUAUACCUUUUACACUCGAUAUUCUUGAUACCAUUGAUAUAUUACUUAUACUGCUAAAAAUAUGUCAAGAUAUUUAAGGGGUUGUUUGCCCCUCAAAUUAGCUGGAGGUAAACUAAUCUAAUACUAGGAUUAUGGUUUCCCUAAUUUAUCUCACUCAUCUUUCUCUUUUCUUGCUACAGACAAUUGUACUUAUUCUCCACUCAUUUCCUUUAUCAUUGUUCUUCAUUCUCCAUUUCUCCUUUGUCAUUGUUCCUCACUCCCCCCUCUUUUAUUCUCUCUACUUUCUCCAUCUUUUCCUUCUUCGAAUUGCUUAUCUCCCUCUAUUUUUUUCUGUUUACUUUCUGUCUUUCGCUUCUUCGAAUCGUUCAUCUCCAUCUUGAAUCGUUGGCCAAAUCGUUGGCUAUUUUAUACCUCCCUCUUGCUGCUCCUAUGGAAACCCCAAAACGAUUGUUAAUUUUUGAAAUUUCUAUCGUUGGUGUUCAUACCAUGGUGGAUUCAAAGAAUGGUAGGGUUUUGGCUUUGGUUUAAGCAGGGUUUAGGGGAAGCGAGCACGGUAGGAAUGCAAGGUCCAUCACUUCUUAGUUUGUAUCCCAAACAAUUAUCGAUGAUGAGGUCGAUAAUUUGUGAAAUUUAUUUUUCUCUGUUGUUAUAUUUUCUGCCAUUUGUUGUUUUUGUGAUGCCAAUGAUAAGUUUUUUUUUUUCUUCUGAAAAAUACUUCAUUUCAUUUUUGUGUAUUUUAUUGAUUUUUCAGAUGUUGGUAAUUCAUUCAUUUUGAGUGUUCUGUGCUUUGGGGAUUUUGAUCAAUGGAUCGAUAUUUUAUAUUUGAAUUCAAUUUUCUUUCCUUCAUCAA